UACGAAGGGUGCAAGCGUUAAUCGGAAUUACUGGGCGUAAAGCGCGCGUAGGUGGUUCAGUAAGUUGGAUGUGAAAUCCCCGGGCUCAACCUGGGAACUGCAUCCAAAACUGGCGAGCUAGAGUACGGUAGAGGGUGGUGGAAUUUCCUGUGUAGCGGUGAAAUGCGUAGAUAUAGGAAGGAACACCAGUGGCGAAGGCGACCACCUGGACUGAUACUGACACUGAGGUGCGAAAGCGUGGGGAGCAAACAGG
rnacentral:rRNA from 1 species